rnacentral:lncRNA from 8 species
AAAGGAGAAGGGGGGGGGGGGGGGGAGGAGGGCCGUUCGCUCUUUAAGGUGCCUUUAUAAAGAAGAUGUUCUCUCUCUCCAUCACACUUGUCCGUUCUGAUUCAUCUUGUCUCGUACUGAUGACUCAUGGUUCUGGUUCUGUACCAAAUAGCACCCUAUUCCCUACAUAGUGCACUACUUUUGACUAGAACCCUAUUCCCCAUAUAGUGCACUACUUUUGACCAGAGCCUAUACCACAUCCUCACUUACAGCCUCACCGCUCCUCAAUGUUUCACUCUGCCCCCACGGUGACGACAUACGAUUGGUUGGUUGUCGGUGGGAGAGUCUGAACGAGGCAGUGUCAAACUAUGGUCCCUGAUUGGUUGGUCCGUCAUGACAUGACCCGCUCGGGGGUUUCCACGCUGAAACGUCCUGACGAGUUGUGUCUACACUCUGGAUCCAGGCGACUGAAACGUCCUGACGAGUUGUCUCUACACUCUGGAUCCAGUCGACUGAAACGUCCUGACGAGUUGUCUCUACACUCUGGAUCCAGUCGACUGAAACGUCCUGACGAGUUGUCUCUUCACUCUGGAUCCAGUCGACUGAAACGUCCUGACGAGUUGUCUCUUCACUCUGGAUCCAGGCGACUGAAACUGGAGGAUGAUUGAUUGGUUGGUUGAUUGAUAGAUUGAUUGAUAGAUUUAAUAAUUGAUUGUGGUGAGGGAGAAGCUGCUAGUAUCUAUGUUUCUGUAUCUGAAUUCCGUUCUAAAGGACCUGGACCAACAGAAUGACCUGGAGUGUGUCCCAAAUGGCACCCUAUAUCCAAUAUGCUGCACUUCUUUUCACCAGGGCUCUGGUCUAAUGUCCUGCACUGUAUAGGGAAUAGGGCCCUGAAAUUAAACUCUGGACCUCGAACCCAAUCCACAGUUGUUUUUCAUUGUUCCCCCUCUCUCAACAGGAACUGAUUUAGAUCUGGGACACCGGAUGAAACAGAAAACCAGCAGGUUCUGGCCCUGGUAGGGUCAGAGUUAAAUAUCCCUGGGAUAGGGUGUCAUUUGGGAUGCAGUAAUGGAUGGAUAGAAUGCAUUGUUGUGUUGAGAUCCGUCCUCUCCCCUACCCCCUAAUCGCUACGCCCUACCCCCUAAUCGCUACGCCCUACAACCCCCUUUAGUCUUCCAGUCUCCUCUUGAUGAUGUAGUAAUGCUUCACCGUUGUCUGGACUCAACAUUCCAUUUUAAUAUUGAGUGCUAUGUUUAAGUUUGUUUUGUAUAUCUGGAGUCUAUUUGUGUAACUAGUAUUAAUGUAUAUGGAACAGGAAACUAAAAGUAUGCUUAAAUAAAGUAUGGAACUAUUCAUGUUUAAUGUAAAUGGUUGUUAUAAAAUACAUGUCAACUAAAAACUGUACAAUUAUUCAAUCAGGAGUGCUGUCAUUGCUGUGUGUGUGUGUGUGUGUGUGUGUGUGUGUGUGUGUGUGUGUGUGUGUGUGUGUGUGUGUGUGUGUGCUCAUGGCAAUUAUGUAAUUCCAACAUAGCACACUAGUGUACACAACCACCUCCACUACCACAGGUCAUAAAGGCAUUUUAGCAGAGGCUUAUAUUCUGCCUAUUGGUGGCCCCAACGGGAAUCAAACUCACAAUCCUUUUGCAAGCACAAUGUUCUACCAACAGCUCCUACCUAUAACAUACUAACAUAUUACCAGUACAACUCCUACCUAUAACAUACUAACAUAUUACCAUAGUACAACUCCUACCUAUAACAUACUAACAUAUUACCAGUACAACUCCUACCUAUAACAUACUAACAUAUUACCAGGCAGGUACAACUCCUACCUAAAACAUACUAACAUAUUACCAGUACAACUCCUACCUAUAACAUACUAACAUAUUACCAGUACAACUCCUACCUAAAACAUACUAACAUAUUACCAGUACAACUCCUACCUAUAACAUACUAACAUAUUACCAGUACAACUCCUACCUAAAACAUACUAACAUAUCACCAGUACAACUCCUACCUAUAACAUACUAACAUAUUACCAGGCAGGUACAACUCCUACCUAUAACAUACUAACAUAUUACCAGUACAACUCCUACCUAAAACAUACUAACAUAUUACCAGAGUACAACUCCUACCUAUAACAUACUAACAUAUUACCAGUACAACUCCUACCUAAAACAUACUAACAUAUUACCAGUACAACUCCUACCUAAAACAUACUAACAUAUUACCAGGCAGGUACAACUCCUACCUAUAACAUACUAACAUAUUACCAGUACAACUCCUACCUAUAACAUACUAACAUAUUACCAGUACCACUCCUACCUAUAACAUACUAACAUAUUACCAGUACAACUCCUACCUAUAACAUACUAACAUAUUACCAGUACAACUCCUACCUAAAACAUACUAACAUAUUACCAGUAAAACUCUAAUCUAUAACAUACUAACAUAUUACCAGUACAACUCCUACCUAUAACAUACUAACAUAUUACUAGUACAACUCCUACCUAUAACAUACUAACAUAUUACCAGUACAACUCCUACCUAUAACAUACUAACAUAUUACCAGGUACAACUCCUACCUAUAACAUACUAACAUAUUACCAGUACAACUCCUACCUAUAACAUACUAACAUAUUACCAGUACAACUCCUACCUAUAACAUACUAACAUAUUACCAGGCAGGUACAACUCCUACCUAUAACAUACUAACAUAUUACCAGUACAACUCCUACCUAAAACAUACUGUCAUAUUACCAGUACAACUCCUACCUAUAACAUACUAACAUAUUACCAGUACAACUCCUACCUAAAACAUACUAACAUAUUACCAGUAAAACUCUAAUCUAUAACAUACUAACAUAUUACCAGUACAACUCCUACCUAUAACAUACUAACAUAUUACUAGUACAACUCCUACUUAAAACAUACUAACAUAUUACCAGUACAACUCCUACCUAUAACAUACUAACAUAUUACCAGUACAACUCCUACCUAUAACAUACUA